AUUGAACGCUGGCGGCAGGCCUAACACAUGCAAGUCGAACGGUAACAGGAAGCAGCUUGCUGCUUUGCUGACGAGUGGCGGACGGGUGAGUAAUGUCUGGGAAACUGCCUGAUGGCGGGGGAUAACUACUGGAAACGGUAGCUAAUACCGCAUAACGUCGCAAGACCAAAGAGGGGGACCUUCGGGCCUCUUGCCAUCGGAUGUGCCCAGAUGGGAUUAGCUAGUAGGUGGGGUAACGGCUCACCUAGGCGACGAUCCCUAGCUGGUCUGAGAGGAUGACCAGCCACACUGGAACUGAGACACGGUCCAGACUCCUACGGGAGGCAGCAGUGGGGAAUAUUGCACAAUGGGCGCAAGCCUGAUGCAGCCAUGCCGCGUGUAUGAAGAAGGCCUUCGGGUUGUAAAGUACUUUCAGCGGGGAGGAAGGGAGUAAAGUUAAUACCUUUGCUCAUUGACGGUACCCGCAGAAGAAGCACCGGCUAACUCCGUG
rnacentral:rRNA from 1 species